CUGAGACACGGCCCAGACUCCUACGGGAGGCAGCAGUGGGGAAUUUUCCGCAAUGGGCGCAAGCCUGACGGAGCAACGCCGCGUGUGGGAUGAAGGCCUGUGGGUUGUAAACCACUUUUCUCAGGGACGAACACAAUGACGGUACCUGAGGAAUCAGCCUCGGCUAACUCUGUGCCAGCAGCCGCGGUAAGACAGAGGAGGCAAGCGUUAUCCGGAAUUAUUGGGCGUAAAGCGUCCGUAGGUGGUCUAGCAAGUCUGGGGUUAAAGCCCGGAGCCCAACUCCGGAUCGGCCUUGGAAACUGCCAGACUCGAGUAAGGUAGGGGUUGCGGGAAUUCCCGGUGUAGCGGUAAAAUGCGUAGAUAUCGGGAAGAACACCAGCGGCGAAAGCGCGCAACUGGGCCAUUACUGACACUGAGGGACGAAAGCUAGGGGAGCGAAUGGGAUUAGAUACCCCAGUAGUCCUAGCCGUAAACGAUGGUGACUAGAUGUGGCUCGUAUUGACCCGAGCCGUGUCGUAGCUAACGCGAUAAGUCACCCGCCUGGGGAGUACGCACGCAAGUGUGAAACUCAAAGGAAUUGACGGGGGCCCGCACAAGCGGUGGAGCAUGUGGAUUAAUUCGAUGCAACGCGAAGAACCUUACCAGGGCUUGACAUCCUGCGAACCCCGCUGAAAGGUGGGGGUGCCUUCGGGAGCGCAGAGACAGGUGGUGCAUGGCUGUCGUCAGCUCGUGUCGUGAGAUGUUGGGUUAAGUCCCGCAACGAGCGCAACCCGCGUCCUUAGUUGCCAGCAUUUAGUUGGGCACUCUGGGGAGACUGCCGGUGACAAGCCGGAGGAAGGUGCGGAUGACGUCAAGUCAGCAUGCCCCUUACGCCCUGGGCGUCACACGUGCUACAAUGGCCAGCACAAAGGGUAGCCAG
rnacentral:rRNA from 1 species